GUGGGGAAUAUUGGACAAUGGGCGAAAGCCUGAUCCAGCCAUGCCGCGUGUGUGAAGAAGGUCUUCGGAUUGUAAAGCACUUUAAGUUGGGAGGAAGGGCAGUAAGUUAAUACCUUGCUGUUUUGACGUUACCGACAGAAUAAGCACCGGCUAACUUCGUGCCAGCAGCCGCGGUAAUACGAAGGGUGCAAGCGUUAAUCGGAAUUAUUGGGCGUAAAGCGCGCGUAGGUGGUUUUGUAAGUUGGAGGUGAAAUCCCCGGGCUCAACCUGGGAACUGCCUCCAAAACUGCAUGACUAGAGUACGGUAGAGGGUAGUGGAAUUUCCUGUGUAGCGGUGAAAUGCGUAGAUAUAGGAAGGAACACCAGUGGCGAAGGCGACUACCUGGACUGAUACUGACACUGAGGUGCGAAAGCGUGGGGAGCAAACAGGAUUAGAAACCCCGGUAGUCC
rnacentral:rRNA from 1 species